GCUUCAUAUUCUUUAUGGAAAUUACAAAAAGGAAAAAGAAAGAUAUGAAGGGAGGGAAAAAAGACAGGAGAAAGGAAAGAGUAGAGAGGGUGUUGGAGAAGGAAUGACAAACUGAGCCAAGCAGUGGCUUGCAAACAAGAAGGAAUCGAUUGGAGACAGAUGGUUGGUGAGAAGGCACUUACAGGUGCCAAAGAGAGAAGAAAUAAGAUCUGGACUGAAGGUCAUGACAGUGAGAAAGGAGAUCAGGGGAUAAGCUUAAGAACUUUUUCAGGUGAACAACAAAGAAGACUUGGAAACUCAGUGAUCAGGGAUUGGAAAUGAUGGUGAUGGAAAGUGGAAUAUCAUUGAUGCUGAACAUUCAAACCUCACUGAUCUCAGAAAAGCAUGAUGACAAACUCCAAAAGGAAACCCAAGC
rnacentral:lncRNA from 1 species